rnacentral:antisense_RNA from 1 species
AUAUUUUUUUUUCUAAGAAUAUUUACUAUUUCUUGAUUAUUUCUGGUGAUAGAUGUGCUGGUAGAUCUUUGUGGAAAUAAAUGAGUAUUUGGUUUUUGUGAUUGCCUACUAUAAACAUUCUCAGAAGAUUUUCUUUCUUUGAAUGUAAGGAAUUUAUGAUUAUUUGGCGUUCCAGAAUUACGGUUUAAUAUAUUGGAGUUUGAGGUUUGAAUCGUUGAUUUUGGUAAAUUUGAUGAAAUUUUAUCUAUUGGAGUUAAAUUGCUGAAGGGUUGAGGUAUGCAUGAAGAUGUACCAAUUGGGUUGGAGAAGUUAGAGUUGGUUUUUCCAAUUAUUUGUGAAAACGAAUGGCUUUGAGGUAGUAUGCGUGAAUUAAGAGAAAUACUUUGACUUGAAAUAUUAUUAGAGGCUGGUGAAGGUUUCCUUGGAGUUUGGAAAAUUGGAGAGUUAUUAAUUUGUUUCCAUGACGACGCCGUUGAAGGGUUGGAUAAAGGAGAAGAUAUGUGUGUAAUAAGAGGAAGAUACGAGCGUUUUGGGGUACAAAUUGGUAUUUUUGAAUUACCAACAGUUGGGAUAGAACAAUGUUCAAUGACGCUUUGAGAAUUACCAAGCUUGUGUGAUGUUCCAGGAACCAUCGAGCUUGGAAAGAACUCACUAACGAAAGAUUCUCCUUGAAUUUUAUUGGUAUUACAUGAAUUGAAAUUAAGUUCUUCAGAGAGAUUAGAUAUUGGAACAGAAGUAGAAGCUUUUGCAGAGUUAUAAAAAGAAACUAACAAAUCAUCAGGGAACUUGUCAAAGUUUGAAUGGUCUAAUUUAUGCUUGACUUUUGGUACAAUUGGAGGUUUUUGGUGGCGGAUUUUGGUAAAGUCCAUUCCUUUAAAAAAUGGAUGCUUCAAAGCUUCUUUCGCACUCUUAAUUCUUUGUGAAGGUUCACAAACCAAAGAACAAAUCAAAUCCAUGGCUUCUGGAGAAUAUUUAUGAUGCUCUGAAGGUAAGUAAAAAUGCUUAUCCCAAUUCAUCACCUUGUUUCUUGUUAUAAGUGAGUUCUGACCUGGAUCUGAUAACGGAGGGCCACCAAAAAGCAUUUCAAAUAAUAUUAUCCCUACACUCCAUAAAUCUACACAAAGGGAGUAAGGUUCUCCUCUAUGAAUUUCAGGAGCCAUAUAAUCUGGGGUGCCAGCAUGAAAGUUUUGAUCAUGAAUAAGUACUUCAUGUGGAUCAAUUCUAGCAGUUACAUUCUUUUGAAAAGAUGAAUUUACUGAAGCAUUCGAAACAAAAGGUCUUUGUUUGCUUUGGAUUAUUUGCUUUGAUAGUCCAAAGUCUAUUAAUUUUAUAUGGCCAUCUACGUCUAACAGUAUAUUAUCUGGUUUUAUAUCUCUAUGAAUAUGACCUUGAAUAUUAUUUAAAUAAUCUAAGGCCAGAAGCAAUUCAGCAAUAUAAAAUUUUGCUGUUUCUUCAUCAAAAGUAUGAAGAUCAAUCAAAUGCCGCAUUAAAUCUCCUCCUGGCAUAUAUUCCAUCAACAUAUAAUAGAAAUGGUUGUCUUCCCAAUAAUAAUAAAGUUUAUUAAUCCAUGGGCUAUCUGAAUUAUACAUUAAUGAAAUCUCAGUAUUCAGCAUUAUUCCAGUGUUCAAAGUUUGUUUUUCUUCAACUUGUUUCUUAGAAGAAUUAAUAUCUAUCUUUACCAAAUUCUCAAGGUUAUCGUGUUGGCUUUGAUUAUUCAUUAUUUGACAUUUCUUUGCCUGUUUUAAUGCAUAAACAUUCCCAGUAUGAAUAUCAAAUACCAGUCUUACUAUUGAAUAGCCUCCUUGGCCAAUUACAGAAAUGGUGUGGAAGUCAUCCAAUGUCACAUUUUGACGCAAUGAAAAGAUAUUUCUGUGAUACUCUACGGAGUUUUCAUCAAUUUCCUUGUUCAAAAUCUUUUUCUUACAAGAAGCACAAUACUUUUCUUCAGGUUCUGG